rnacentral:rRNA from 1 species
GAUGAACGCUGGCGGCGUGCCUAACACAUGCAAGUCGAGCGGUAAAUACUGAAACGAAUCUUCGGAAGAGGGAAGGUAUUGAGAGCGGCGGACGGGUGAGUAACGCGUAGGCAACCUGCCCCAUACACAGGGAUAGCCUCGGGAAACCGGGAUUAAAACCUGAUAACGCGAGGGAUUCACAUGGAUUCUUCGCCAAAGAUUUAUCGGUAUGGGAUGGGCCUGCGUCUGAUUAGCUAGUUGGUGGGGUAACGGCCUACCAAGGCGACGAUCAGUAGCCGACCUGAGAGGGUAAUCGGCCACAUUGGAACUGAGACACGGUCCAAACUCCUACGGGAGGCAGCAGUGGGGAAUAUUGCACAAUGGGCGAAAGCCUGAUGCAGCAACGCCGCGUGGAUGAUGAAGGCCUUCGGGUCGUAAAAUCCUUUUCAGAGGGAAGAAACGGACGGUACCUCUGGAAUAAGCCACGGCUAACUACGUGCCAGCAGCCGCGGUAAUAC